GCGGGGAACAUCCAUAGCUCAGUGGUAGAGCAUCUGUCUUGCAUACAGAAGGUCCCUGGUUUAGAACAGUUCUUUCU